AUUGAACGCUGGCGGCAGGCCUAACACAUGCAAGUCGAGCGAGCGGCGGACGGGUGAGUAAUGUAUGGGGACUGCCCGAUAGAGGUGGAUAACUACUGGAAACGGUAGCUAAUACCGCAUACUAUCGGAUAACCCAUAUGGGAUUAGCUAGUAGGUGAGGGAAUGGCUCACCUAGGCGACGCUCCCUCGCUGGUCUGAGAGGAUGAUCAGCCUCACUGGGACUGAUGAACGGCCCAGACUCCUACGGAGGCAGCAUGGGGGAAUAUUGCACAAUGGGCGCAAGCCUGAUGCAGCCCUGCCGCGUGUAUGAAGAAGGCCCUAGGGUUGUAAAGUACUUUCAGUCGGGAGGCGUUACCGACAGAAGAAGCACCGGCUAACUCCGUGCCAGCAGCCGCGGUAAUAC
rnacentral:rRNA from 1 species